GGGGAUGUAGCUCAUUGGUAGAGCUCAUGCUUAACAUACAUAGGCCCUGGGUUCAAUCCCCAGCACCA
rnacentral:tRNA from 1 species